UUUUUUCUUUCAUUCAUCGCGACUCUCUCUCUCUUCUCUCUCAUUGCAAACGGCGAAAGGAAAGGCGAUUGAUGCCGUGAUCGAAAAAUCGAAUCUAUUCACCUCGAUUCCCAUGAAGUUUCCGGCUAAAAUUGGAGGUUUGUUGGCCACCCGGCUAAAAUUGGCUUUACGAUCUUCUCUCCGAGUCCGAACUCCACCGACGACAGCGAAUUUAACGGCAAAAGAAGAAACCGAAACAAGGAAGAACAAUACCAUAUAUUUCGUUGCAACUGUCCGGACUCGAACAAUGGAAUCAAAGCUCAUGCUUAGGAAAUGUAGAAGCAGAGGAGUUACUUCAAACGACGUUAUAAAAGAUUGCUUCCAUACUUUAUGAAAGCUGUAGAUGUUGUCUCUACAGAUGGAACGUCAUCAAGCCGGUGCUCAAAACCUUUAAGACAGAAUCAUCCAAAUAUUAGUUUGUCCUGUAACAGAGAAGCCGGAGAAACUGGUGAAGAUGUAGAGGAGGAAGUUAGUGAAUUGAUGCUCAUGGAGAUGAUUGUGGCAAAGGCGUUGUAUCAAUUUUGGAAUGAACCAGUAUAAGCCUAUAUUUUUGGGAACCGCCGAUCCAAAUACGGAGCUCAGCAAGCUAACUCGGGCAUAACACUCAAAAGUGUAUUCGUGCUGGUGGAAAGCAUAACGAUUUGGACGAUGUCGGCAAAAAUACUUACCAUCACACGUUCUUCGAAAUGCUUGGUAACUGGUCAUUUGGAGAUUAUUUCAAGAACGAAGCUAUCGGAUGGGCUUGGGAGCUCUUAAAUAAGGUCUAUGGGCUACCGACUGAUCGAAUUUACGCUACCUAUUUUGGCGGUGAUGAGAAAGCUGGCCUUCAACCUGAUAAUGAGGCUAGAGAUAUAUGGUUGAAGUUUCUUCCACCUGGACGUGUACUACCCUUAUAUAGAUAGAGUAUAUACAUUCAUUUCACACUCUUAUAUAUAGAUAGAGUAUAUACUUAGAUUGAUUAUUUUAAAAAUUAAACUUUGAUAAUUAAUAAACACAAAUUAAAAAAAUAUAUAUAUUAUUUAAAUGAUUGAACAAUCUUUUUUGGGUUCUCUAGUGGAGGGGUGAU